rnacentral:rRNA from 2 species
UGAUGAACGCGGCGCAGCCUACACAUGCAAGUCGAGCGGAUGAAGAGAGCUUGCUCUCUGAUUCAGCGGCGGACGGGUGAGUAAUGCCUAGGAAUCUGCCUAUUAGUGGGGGACAACGUUUCGAAAGGAACGCUAAUACCGCAUACGUCCUACGGGAGAAAGCAGGGGACCUUCGGGCCUUGCGCUAAUAGAUGAGCCUAGGUCGGAUUAGCUAGUUGGUGAGGUAAAGGCUCACCAAGGCGACGAUCCGUAACUGGUCUGAGAGGAUGAUCAGUCACACUGGAACUGAGACACGGUCCAGACUCCUACGGGAGGCAGCAGUGGGGAAUAUUGGACAAUGGGCGAAAGCCUGAUCCAGCCAUGCCGCGUGUGUGAAGAAGGUCUUCGGAUUGUAAAGCACUUUAAGUUGGGAGGAAGGGCAGUAAGUUAAUACCUUGCUGUUUUGACGUUACCGACAGAAUAAGCACCGGCUAACUUCGUGCCAGCAGCCGCGGUAAUACGAAGGGUGCAAGCGUUAAUCGGAAUUACUGGGCGUAAAGCGCGCGUAGGUGGUUCGUUAAGUUGGAUGUGAAAGCCCCGGGCUCAACCUGGGAACUGCAUCCAAAACUGGCGAGCUAGAGUAUGGCAGAGGGUGGUGGAAUUUCCUGUGUAGCGGUGAAAUGCGUAGAUAUAGGAAGGAACACCAGUGGCGAAGCGCCACCGGGCUAAUACUGACACUGGUGCGAAAGCGUGGGGAGCAAACAGG